UUCUCUAUAAGAAUUAGGUUAUGAGUAAAAAAGCAUAUUCUUUUAGAAAAAAGCGUUAUUAAUCGCACUAAACGUCACGCGCUUUUACAUUUAACGUUAUAGUUUAUUGAUUGAUGAGCAAUUGUUUUUUUGUAAAUAUUUUCAUGGAAUAUGACAUAAAACAUUGAAAUAUUGGCCUCUGUGCAUAUCUUUUUUUUUUAAAGUCAAUAAAACUGCAAAUGUGCAUCAUUCAACGACAGUAUAUUUAUAGUAUUCUACCUUGAAAACUUUAAAUUACUCCAAAGUUUGUAAAUAAACAUUUAUGGGGAAAUACGUGAUGCUUAAUUCAACAUAAAUAUAGGCAACAGUAGUAUACCGCUGUUCGAAAUUCAUAAAUAAAAUUGACAUUGAAUGACUAUUUAUGAUGAAUUUUUACAUUUUGAUUUGAACACAAUUUACCGUCUGUGAUAAUGCACACAGACUACAUUAAUGUGCGUACGUUUCUAUUUGACCUACGAUACAUGUACAAACUUUCCAAUGUUCAAU
rnacentral:lncRNA from 1 species